UUUUUUUCGCUCACACUUCCGAACUUUUUCAUUAAUUACGUGGAAAAUGGGAAAUUCGUACAUACUUGAAAAGGAAGGCGAGCAGGAGGAGAUGUAACGGAAAAUUAGAGAUGCAAGUUUUCUGAAACAACAUUGAAGGCACGCUCUAUUUCCGUGAAACUGUUCGCGUCUCUUGAACUUGUGUUGCUGAUUCUGAAAAUGGUAAUGGUUAAUUAUCUACGCGCUGUUGAAACGGUUAAAGAGUACUAUGAAAUAACCUUGACUUGAAGUUUUUUUAACGGUUUUUACAGUUACGUUUAUGAAAACACUAUCUAAAAUCGCAGACUGUGAAACGUGAAUACCAGCUCGUAUUUAAGUUGAAUUAAGUCCAAUGAUUAUUGGAAAAUAACGUAUAAAUUUUCGAUUAAUUGCUUCAUUUUUAAAUAGUAUUAUUGAUAAGUAUCGCGGUUAAAAUAAAUUCAUAUUUCUAUCUUAGAUAUAAUUAAAAGAUAGAAUUUAAUAGAGACUUUCGCUUGCUAAAUAUUUAUAUCAUUGUAGUAUUUAACAGAUUAGGCGUAAUUCUGAAAAAAAAUUUAUCGAGUUUUGAAAGUUUCUUUCGAUGUUAAACUCUCUCGAAAGUUCGACACACCAUUGUGAAACGAUGCUCACAUGCUCGGCUGUUGACCAAUGUUCUAUAAAGGAAGAAACAUUUGAAAGACGCAUUGCAUUUGAGUUGCAAUUUUACGCACAGCUGACUUCGCAGUCACCCUUUGCAGUCAGUUGGUUCCUGCCUAAAGCAACAGGUGGUCUAGCCACGUGUCGAUCCCUGGAAACGAGCAAUUUUUACAUUUUGCAAUUGCAAAAUGCUCGCUUUUUAAA